GAUGAAGAACGCAGCGAAAUGCGAUACGUAAUGUGAAUUGCAGAAUUCAGUGAAUCAUCGAAUCUUUGAACGCAUAUUGCGCUCUCUGGUAUUCCGGAGAGCAUGCUUGUUUGAGUAUCAGUAAACACCUCAACUCCCUCUCUUCUUGAAAUGGAGCUGGACUUGAGUGAUCCCAACGCUUUAUUCAUAAAGUGGCGGGUUACUUGAAAUGCAGGUGCAGCUGGACUUUUCUCUGAGCUAUAAGCAUAUCUAUUUAGUCUGCCUCAAAACAGAUUAUUACCUUUGCUGCAGCUAACAUAAAGGAGAUUAGUUCUUGUGCUGACUGAUGCAGGAUUCACAAAGACCGCUUCGGCUGUCUUUGUAAACUCGAUCUCAAAUCAAGUAAGACUACCCGCUGAACUUAAGCAUAUCAAUAAGCGGAGGA
rnacentral:misc_RNA from 1 species